GCUGCCCCUCCGGACAGGUGAGUGUCCGCAGGUGUUGUUGUCGCGGGUAAAUCUUUGUGUUUGGGAGAUGAUUGUUCCUCCGGCUGCUGACAGCUAUGGCUGAACGGGCUGAACGGGCUGAACGGACAGAACUCACGGUUCUCUGCGGACCCGCGGACCCGGAGGCCGUUAACGUCGCUGUUGACGCCGAACUUCCUCUCAUAGAAGGUUUGGAAAUAAUCCCGGAACUUUCACAGGAUGUUGAGCCGCCAGAAUGUGCAGCCUCAGAGGAGACGGACAUCAGAGAGACGCCGGAGCAGGGAGACAAAAACGCACAGGUGGACGGACAGACGGUCUCUGCACCUGCAGAUGAAUCCUCCAGUACCAAAUCAAAGUGGGCCGUGGGCGCCCAGUGUCGGGCGGCGUGGUCGGAGGACGGGCGGGUGUACCCGGCGACGGUGGUGUCUCUGGACGGAGAACGCUGCAGAGUCCGUUUCAGCGGCUACGGCAACGAGGAGGACGUGGAACUGAGCGCGCUCAAAAGUCCAGACGCUGCUCUGCGAACACAGAGAGAAAACUCCCAGGACUGGAAACCGGGUUCUCUGUGUCGGGCCGUGUACUCGGAGGACGGCCUGGUUUAUCCGGCUGUCGUCCUGUGGGUCAAAGGUCAGCGCUGCCGUAUUCGCUUCGACAACUACAACAACGAGGAGGAACAGGACGUCGGCCGCCUGCUGAACCCCGACGAGCUCCACGGUCCCAGCAGAGCCGCUGCAGCCAAGGGCCGCGACUGGAAGUCCAGCGUAACCAGCAGCAAGGAGAGAGAGGGAGGAGGAGAGAGGAGGUCAGCGGGGAGAGGUGAUGAGCAGAAGUUCUCCUGGCAGGUUACAGAGAAACCCGGCAGAGUGGAAAAGGAAGAGAAGAAGAAGAAGAAGAAAGGAGACCAGCAGGGAGACGGAGCAGAGAAAUCGACCAAUCACAGCUUUCCAUUCUUCCCUCCGUUUCCUCCUCCUCCUCAGUCGGCCUCGGGGGGCCCCAUGUCCUUCAUCCCUCCUCCUCCUCCUCUCUGGACGUUUGGCGCGAAAGAGUCCGCCACUCCUCCGGCCGUCAACGCCACCUCCAGCAUGUUGAUGCUGUGGUACAUGUGUGGCUUCCACACAGGCAGCUACAUGGCUCAGCAGGAGUUCAUGUCCAAAGACUGAGCCUGAGUUAAAGCAGCAGAAAGGUGCGUUUACUGUCCGGCUGAAGUCGCGUGAUGGAGGUGUGGAGUUUGUCUGUGCCCUGAUAUUAAUUAAUGUGAAAAUUCAACUUGGAAACGGCUGAUUUACACAGAAACAACCAGUUACUAAACGCAGUAACAGCGAGCGUCUUUAAAAGGCUUCAACAGGAAACAGAAUCUAUUAAUCAUAUUAACUGUAGUUUCUUUUGCUUUCUGCUUCAGAGCCAGAGAGGAUUAUGGGCCAGGCUGGGACGAUCCUCUUUCUUUCACGGUUUACAUUUGUUUAAAAUAUUUUUAAGAUCCUUUUUAUUUGUUCUUAUUUGAAAGGUCCAUCAUUUAGAAACCGCUGUGUUGUUUAGUUUGUGUUCAGAGACGUUUGUGUGUUUCAGUGUUUCUGUUUGUCAUUUAAAACCCAAAAAAAAGGUGGAUAACAUGAAUCUCUUUGUUGACAAUAAACGUUGGUAUGGUC